GGGAUUAUAGCUUAGUUGGUAGAGCAUCUGUUUUGCAUGUAGAAGGUCAGGAGUUCAAAUCUCCUUAAUUCCA
rnacentral:tRNA from 1 species